AUCAUCUCAAAGUCACUUUCCUUGAUCACUUGAUUUAUUGUUGCUCUUGAGAUGUUCUUUUUUAUGUUAGUUUCUCGUAGUGCUCUCCUAGUUCUUGAAAUGACAUUACUUCUUGUGUAAUUGUUUAUUGACCUCACUCUAUUGGAAGGUAAGCUCCAGAGAGCAGGAAUCUUGUUUGUUUUGCUAACUGCUGUAUCUCUGGUACCUAGAGGAAUAACUGGCAUGCAGAUGGUGCUCAGUAAGCAGUUUAGUUAUGGAAUGAAUUGCUGAAUGAAUAGCUAUCUCUCAGGGAUUUAGCAAGCAUGUAAAAAUAUUUUCUCCACUGACAAUAAAAAAAGAGAAUCACAAUAGUGAUUGUGUAUACCAUAGUCUCUAAACAAUGUACACAAAGAAAUAGAUCAUUUAAUAAAUUGGGUUGGAGUUCCUGUUGUGGCGCAGCGGAAACGAAUCUGACUAGGAACCAUGAGGUUGUGGGUUUGAUCCCUGGCCUUGCUCAGUGGGUUAAGGAUCUGGCAUUGCUUUGAGCUGUGGUGAAGGCCAGAAGUUACAGAUCCGAUUAGACCCCUGGCCUGGGAAUCUCCAUAUGCUGCUGGUGUGGCCCUAAAAAAACAAAAACAAAAAACAACAAAAAAAGAUAAAUUGGGUUAUAUUUUAAAUUUGUAAGUUGCUGUGAGUGCUCAAAAUAUAUCCUCUUAAUUUUUUGUAGGGUAAGAAUUUUAACCUUGGUUCUAUUAAGUCCUUAGUUACAUCAGUGAGGUCCGUUUCAUUAAAAUGAAAACUUAUUUCUAAAUAUGUUCUAGCACUAUUGUAAAGUGGUUAAUUUCUCAAAUUAGGUUAGCAUCUUUCCAAUAUGUAUCAUCUUUCUAAGUUGAAGUAAGUGGCAAUACUUGUGAAAUAUUGCUUACACAAUUAUUUUUAUUUUCAGUGAAUCUGGAGACUAUUAUUGGGUUGAAAACUUCUGAAAUCAUGUUAUAGAUGGGCACUCUCUUAUGAAAUUAGAAACUUAGAUUGAAAUUUGCAAUCCGUAUGUGUUUUAUAGAAAAGCUCAAAUGGAGUCCCUCUUGAACUAUUUUUAUCUAUUUCAGAUUUGUUUUGUUAAUGCAGUUAACAAAUGUUAAUCCACCUUUGGUUAGUGUAGUUUCAAGUUUGUCAAAUUCAUAGUCAGUUGUUUAUACUACUUCUGUAUAAACUUUCAGAAUAAAAAUAGGAAAUAAUUUUCCAUCUAGAGUUUGUGAGUUUGUUAGUUGCACUUAUUAGUUAAACAAUUUCUUUUUAUAGUUGUCAUAUAUAGCAAUAUAUGGAGUUCCUGUCGUGGCGCAGUGGUUAAUGAAUCCGACUAGGAACCAUGAGGUUGCGGAUUUGGUCCCUGCCCUUGCUCAGUGGGUUAAGGAUCCGGCGUUGCCGUGAGCUGUGGUGUAGGUUGCAGACGCGACUUGGAUCUGCGUGCUGUGCUUGGCGUAGGCAGUGGCUACAGCUCGAUUAGACCCUAGCCUGGGAACCUCCAUAUGCCGCGCGAGCGGCCCAAAGAAAUAGC
rnacentral:lncRNA from 1 species